ACAGAGGUGGCGAGCGUUGUUCGGAAUUACUGGGCUUAAAGGGCGAGUAGGCGGUAGGGCAAGUCCGAGGUGGAAUCCUAUGGCUUAACCAUAGAAUUGCCUUGGAAACUGCUUUACUUGAGUCAGUGAGGGGAGGGCGGAAUUCCUGGUGUAGCGGUGAAAUGCGUAGAUAUCAGGAGGAAGGCCAGUGGCGAAGGCGGCCCUCUGGCACUGCACUGACGCUGAGGCGCGAAAGCGUGGGGAGCAAACAGG
rnacentral:rRNA from 1 species